AACAGUUAACUAUGUGAGCACAACACCUAGUAAACUAAGCAGAAACUGUGCAUACUUAACUAACGAAUCUAAGGAAACAAAUAGACCUACGAGCAUUGCCGUAAAAAUUGGAUUUUUAUGUGCUGCAAGCAAUUUCCGCUGCUAAUAAACGUAAAUGACGGCACAAUUUACCGGGAGUGGGCCAAAAUGUCUUUUGCGCUAAAACCAAUCGAUUAAUCCACGAAAUGGGGGGAUUUGUCACGUGACCCGUUGCCUUCAGGCCUGCUCGUGCAUGUGGUGUGUGACUAUAGGAUCUUACUGUGCAGUACUGCAUUGGUACUGGAUUCGAUUCGAUACGGUACUCAUGCACUCGUACUCUUCCUCGUGACAAUGCGCCGAUACCAAGGACCUCCAAUGCCACGUGAUUGAUGAUGUAUCAGUAUUAUCGUCGAUGAGCAAAAUAUACGGGACAGCAAAAUGUCUGCGGAGUGGAAGUACUUCAAACUUGACGACAAAAUCCAAAGCACAGCGGACUGGAGACUGAAACCAUGCUGUAUGAAUAAUCUAAAGUACAAAACCAUCACAGGACUGAGGAUGUCAAGGUGUUCUGAGAUAAGUGAAAUCUGCACAAGUGCAUAAGUGAAAUCUGCUGUUGCUGUCCGACCCAGAUUCAAGACUGUGCUCUGAUGCUUCAGACUGAACUGCAUGAUGGGAUAUCGGCACCGAGGUGCCGUUCUACCCUUUGUGUCUAGGCUGCCACCGGUCCAGGAUCCUUCACUGUCAGAAUGCUGCCUGUCAUGGGUGAAGUCGUCAUUUGCAGUGCAUCCAGUAAAAAAAAUAAAUCUACCGUUUCACUUCACGAUCGUAUGCAAUUAUGGAGUUUUAAGAUGGAAAGUAGAAAUCUUAUUGUUCUUUUUAUUUGAUCUGCAAGUUUUUUUUUGAUUGCGACAGUGACUACCUUUUGUACUACUUGGAAUUUUAUGGUAAUUGGAGUUUGUCUUUGAUUACAGAGAAAGAAAGUGGACUUAGCAAUGUGACAGGUUCAUUUUCAGCUCUACUCCGGUGGAAUGGAUUGUCAGUCUGACGUCCUGCCUUGGCCAGCCCCUUGUUUCCAGCCAUUCACAGUAACGCCAAAGACACUGGGCCUGGUGUUUUCCAUUGGAUGUUAUCUGGCUGUUCCAGCCCACUUCCUCACUCGCAGUGGGGCGGAACCAGCAUUUUCAUCUCAGGAUGUUUCAAUGUGGGAGAUUUCAGUGGAGCUGCUCCUAGUGGACGGACUGCAUGGGUUGAAGCCACAUCACUCUGCGACACAUUACAGCUCCUUUCCCCUCACAUUACAGCAAAUACAGCCAGUCACACGGCCUUUCUUCUUCACUUUCAUUGGCUAGGACAUUUCAACAUACAAAUUCAUAUGAGCAUGACGGGCUAAUGUGUCGAACAGAAGAGCUUCACACAUUUUCUGUGCAGCAAACCAGGGGCAAUGAACGUCUUUUCUGGUUACUGGCGUUUGGCAGGGAAAAGCACUCCCCGACUGCGUCUCCCACAGAUACAGUGCGUUGCUUCCUUUUGCUCUGUGUCGCCCCCUACAGGUGCACUCCAGCACUCACCAUGGAGAGGGUUAAAUUCCUCAAUAUCAGGAAAGAGGACGUACGAAAAAAAGAAAUGAAUUAAGGAGACGCAGGAAGCAUGGAGUGUGGCGUUAAGAAGCGGAAGGGGGUUUUGAUUGAGAUGUUUCGUGGAUCUCCAAGCAGGGAGCCCAAACCGGCAGUGUGUCCUGGAACGUCCAGACCUCCAGUCAUACACCACUGUGGUUGACUGGAUCUGUGCGCAUCUGAGGAGAUGCUCCAGAUUCACUUUGAAAAAUGAUAUAAUGCACAAUAAUUGCCUUUUUCUAGAGACUUAAAGACCACAUAACACUUUAUAAGGUAUUUUCUCCACUAGAUAUAAUUGAUUACAGUACAUUUUACUCUACAAAGGAAUUUAACCAUUUUAAUGUUUUAAUUUUGCUUCUGUUAAUUACAUAUCCCACUAUACCACAAACACAAGUUAUAACCAGCAUAUCAGCAGAUAAUAGGGGGCAGUAAAACCAGAUGUUGAAAAUCUAUAUGGGGUGCACAGGGCAGUGUGUCCAUGUACCAUGAAGGCCCCGUUAGGCUUGCUUUUUACUGAAUAUGUAUAAGCAAACUUGGGUAGAAACCACUGAAAGCGGAAUUCUUGGCCUCAAGAACAGUUCAGCAGCUCAGUGUAAAUUGGUCCUCUGUUCUGCAAGGAAAUUGCGAACUUUAAAAAUUCUCUUUAAACCGAACAACUCAGGGCAGACGAACGCUGCCCCCUGCUGGUGAAAAAAAAACGACUUGUCAUUCUGCCAAACCUUUAACAGUUUCUACCAUCAAACCUAAACAUGCUAACACCUCAAAGAGUGUUGCCAGUUUAACAUUUGAAGUUACAUGUUUCAGUCUUUUUAAUAGUAUGUCUAAACCGCACUUAAAUUGAGACAGGUACUUCUCGUAAAUAUCGUUUGUGUAAAUCUUAAGCUGUUCGUGCCC